CGAAGCGCGCAUCCGGCGCGACGCGACCCUCAGCGCGCAUUCCGCGUUGAGUUUCAGCACGCUGCGUGCGCCCGGUGCCGAAUUAACAGAAAAAACACAGAAAAACUAAGAAAAACCUCCCAAAACAUCUCCACAACAGUGAACAUCAGUGCCCCCGACCGUCAGGAAUAAAAACAUUGGUAGUGUAGUGCAGUGUUGUGCGUGUCGCUUUCAAAGUAAUAACGUACACAUAGUAUAGUUCUGUGAAAAGUAAAAAUCAGUAAAGACAAUUCUACAACAAGAUGGCGUGCCGAAACCACUUCAAACCCCCUCACAUCAUUGAAAAUAUACAAGUUCUACAAAUGUUCUGCAACUACGACCACCACAAGGAAUACGGACUCCCAACAUGGCGGCAUGUGGAAGGUGGACUAAGUCGUGAGACGUGUCUCAACAUGUCCGCAUGUACACGAGAGGCUAAACUGGUAUGGCUGGUGUUAAAAUAUAAAUAUAAAUGUCUAAAAUUUUAUUGUACUAGUCUACAUAUGUAAAACUUGUCUAAAUAAAGAGAGGAUUCAAGAUA